rnacentral:rRNA from 1 species
UACGAAGGGGGCUAGCGUUGCUCGGAAUUACUGGGCGUAAAGGGCGCGUAGGCGGCACAGCAAGUCGGGAGUGAAAGCCCGGGGCUCAACCCCGGAACUGCUUUCGAAACUGCUGAGCUAGAGUACAGAAGGGGCAACCGGAAUUCCCAGUGUAGCGGUGAAAUGCGUAGAUACUGGGAAGAACACCUGAGGCGAAGGCGGGUUGCUGGGCUGAUACUGACGCUGAGGCGCGAAAGCCAGGGGAGCAAACGGG